ACGUAGGGAGUAAGCGUUGUUCGGAAUUACUGGGCGUAAAGGGUGUGUAGGCGGGAACGCAAGUUGGGGGUGAAAUCUACGGGCUCAACUCGUAAACUGCCCUCAAAACUGCGUUUCUUGAGUAUGGGAGAGGAGUCUGGAAUUCCCAGUGUAGGGGUGAAAUCUGUAGAUAUUGGGAAGAACAUCAGUGGCGAAGGCGAGACUCUGGCCUGAUACUGACGCUGAGACACGAAAGCGUGGGGAGCAAACAG
rnacentral:rRNA from 1 species